ensembl:snRNA LOC120097635 U4 spliceosomal RNA
AGCUUUGCGCAGUGGCAGUAUCGUAGCCAAUGAGGUUUAUCCGAGGCGCGAUCAUUGCUAAUAGAAAUACACACAAAUAUAUGAAAACGGGACAGCGAUGUAAUUAUAUUUUAUUUCAGAAAAGGAAAUUUCA